rnacentral:rRNA from 1 species
UACGAAGGGUGCUAGCGUUGUUCGGAAUUACUGGGCGUAAAGCGCGCGUAGGCGGCCAUUCAAGUCAGAGGUGAAAGCCCUGGGCUCAACCCAGGAAUUGCCUUUGAAACUGUAUGGCUAGAGUGUCGGAGGGGAUAGCGGAAUUCCUAAUGUAGAGGUGAAAUUCGUAGAUAUUAGGAGGAACACCGGUGGCGAAGGCGGCUAUCUGGACGACAACUGACGCUGAGGCGCGAAAGCACGGGGAUCAAACAGG